rnacentral:misc_RNA from 1 species
GAUGAAGAACGUAGCGAAAUGCGAUAAGUAAUGUGAAUUGCAGAAUUCCGUGAAUCAUCGAAUCUUUGAACGCACAUUGCGCCCCCUGGCAUUCCGGGGGGCAUGCCUGUCCGAGCGUCAUUUCUGCCCUCCAGCCCGGCUGGGUGUUGGGCGCUGUCCCCCCGGGGACACGCCCCAAAGGCAGUGGCGGCGCCGCGUCGGGUCCUCGAGCGUAUGGGGCUUUGUCACCCGCUCGGGACGGACUCGUCGGCGCUGGUCUUCCUCCAGGCGACCCUUCGGGGCUCGUCUUCCUUCGGUUGACCUCGGAUCAGGUAGGGUUACCCGCUGAACUUAAGCAUAUCAAUAAGCGGAGG